GUGGGGGAUAUUGCACAAUGGGGGAAACCCUGAUGCAGCAACGCCGCGUGAGGGAAGAAGGUUUUCGGAUUGUAAACCUCUGUCCUAAGUGAAGAAAAAAAUGACGGUAACUUAGGAGGAAGCUCCGGCUAACUACGUGCCAGCAGCCGCGGUAAUACGUAGGGAGCGAGCGUUGUCCGGAAUUACUGGGUGUAAAGGGUGCGUAGGCGGCCAAGUAAGGCAGGCGUGAAAUACAUGGGCUCAACCCAUGGGAUGCGCUUGAAACUGCAUGGCUUGAGUGAAGUAGAGGCAGGCGGAAUUCCCGGUGUAGCGGUGAAAUGCGUAGAGAUCGGGAGGAACACCAGUGGCGAAGGCGGCCUGCUGGGCUUUAACUGACGCUGAGGCACGAAAGCAUGGGUAGCAAACAGGAUUAGAAACCCUAGUAGUCC
rnacentral:rRNA from 1 species